rnacentral:rRNA from 1 species
UACAGAGGUCCCAAGCGUUGUUCGGAUUCACUGGGCGUAAAGGGUGCGUAGGCGGGUCUUUAAGUCAGAGGUGAAAUCCUGGAGCUCAACUCCAGAACUGCCUUUGAUACUGUGGAUCUUGAGUACGGGAGAGGUGAGUGGAACUGCGAGUGUAGAGGUGAAAUUCGUAGAUAUUCGCAAGAACACCAGUGGCGAAGGCGGCUCACUGGCCCGUUACUGACGCUGAGGCACGAAAGCGUGGGGAGCAAACAGG